UUUGACGGGCUCUAGACGGGCCUUGUUCACGGAAAGGCUGCAGAUUGAGGCAGAGCGUUUAAGAGGCGGAACCUUUGUUCUGUGACUGAGGUUGUGGCGGGGAGAGAUUUUAGUGGGACACCAAGAUGGCGGUUUCUCUGUUUAUCCUCUUCGGCCGCGCAGCGCCGUUCAAGACUUUACAACUGCAAGCAUGGCGGCUUCGAAGUCUACCUUCUGCUGUUUCUCUCUGCACCAAACCAGAGGACUCUAAAAAAGUCUCUAAAAAAAAUGAAAGUGGUUCCAUAACUAACACUAAAGCAGAUACAGCUCAGAAGUUAUCAGAUGAAGAUCUGAGGAAAUUCUUGACAAGAAAAACUGUGGUAGCAUUUCCUCAGAGAGCAAACCACCCUUCUCUUGAAGGGGAGCCUGUUUUCUCCUCCACAAGAUACUUGAGCAAGAACUCAGAAGAGGAAGAAUCAUCCUCUUCAUCAGGCUCUGAAUCAGAUUCCAGUUCUGAUUCUGACGAAGAAGAAGGUGAUGAUAAUAAUAGCUUCAAAAAUAUCGUAAAAACCAAAGUAUCAUUUCCAAGGCGAGAUCCCAUCUCUUCUGGUGAUAGUGCAAUGAAUGCAAACAAAACCAGUGAAAAGUACUUUUCUCAAGAACAAGUCAAGAGUAAACAACAUGUGAAAGUCCCUCAUCAUCUGAAAACAACAGAGACUCCAAACAACCAAGAGCAGUUUUAUCAGGCCGCUCCUGAUGACAAAUUGUUAAAAACUGAUUUGGUGAAACCUGCUGUAAAACAAAGUCCUAAAGAGAGACCCUUAUACUGCACAGAUGUGGGAACAAGAAUUGUGGAAAAUCGAAGGUCAGCAGGAGUUACAUCUAAGCAAUUUGUGGCAUCUGUCCCUGAAACAGCUUCUAGUACAUUGCCUCUAACAAAACCCAUGCUUCACCAAAGUGUAGUGCAAAAUUUGACUUCACUACAACAGAAAGAAAGUGUGACUAAUGAAGUACAAAAGACAGAAAUGCAAAGAACAGCUUCAGUACUACAAGAAGUUUUGGAUGAUGGAAUCCCAGUAGCUGAAACAACAGAGAACGGGGAGACUUUCGUAGAAGCAGGAGUUCAGACUGAACAACAAAGCACUCUACAGGAAACAAAGCCACCAGUUGAAACUGCUCAAGAAACAUUUGACAUUUCUUCCUACAAGAACCUGCAGCAUCAUGAGUAUACACCAUACACAUUUGUGGAUUAUGAUGUUUUGCUUUCAGAACGGAGGUUGCCUCAGCCUUCAUCUGGGAGAUCAUCUCCAAGGCAUUGA
rnacentral:lncRNA from 11 species